GAGCGGGGAAGAGUAGCUUGCUACUUUACCUAGCGGCGGACGGGUGAGUAAUGCUUAGGAAUCUGCCUAUUAGUGGGGGACAACAUCUCGAAAGGGAUGCUAAUACCGCAUACGUCCUACGGGAGAAAGCAGGGGACCUUCGGGCCUUGCGCUAAUAGAUGAGCCUAAGUCGGAUUAGCUAGUUGGUGGGGUAAAGGCCUACCAAGGCGACGAUCUGUAGCGGGUCUGAGAGGAUGAUCCGCCACACUGGGACUGAGACACGGCCCAGACUCCUACGGGAGGCAGCAGUGGGGAAUAUUGGACAAUGGGGGGAACCCUGAUCCAGCCAUGCCGCGUGUGUGAAGAAGGCCUUUUGGUUGUAAAGCACUUUAAGCGAGGAGGAGGCUACCGAGAUUAAUACUCUUGGAUAGUGGACGUUACUCGCAGAAUAAGCACCGGCUAACUCUGUG
rnacentral:rRNA from 1 species